GGCACAUGGCCCACAUACUCUGAGAAGGUACAGAGGUUAAUCUCUCGUUUUGUUGAGUCUCUAAACUCAAAACCUCUGAGACAAGACUUGGAAAUGGCAAAUAAAAUCUUUGCUGUGUUUUCCUCGACUCUAAACUAUGUUUUAAAGUAAAUGUUUCACUCUUAUAUGUGCAAAAUACAAAUACCCCAUCUUGUGGGGUGCUAGGAGAGAAGUUUUAAGAUGGCUACAGACCAAGCGAGUUGGCAAAGAGUACUCCCGAGCCGCCGAAGGCUCCCCUUUGUCCGGGAGCUUCCUGGAAACGGUUUUGGAAUACAAGGUCCUGUCGGACAGACUUCCACCUCCCUGGUCCUGCUGCGUGCGCAUUCGUCUGUGUACAGGGCUGUGCUGCAAAGAUGGGAUCGUAACUGCGUGAGUGUCUGCAGGGGCUUGGAGUUUUCGUGCAGGAGAAGGGACGGGGUGUGAGUUCCCUGUCCCAGGGGCGCUAAGGCUACAGCGACAGAUGACAAGGCACCUCUUCUUCCUGGACAUCACUGGGACUCUCCUUAGGGAGAAGACACCCGGUGUCCCCAUGACUCCCUUUACCAUCCAUUAAGACGACACUGUCUGUGAGGACCCCAGAAGAGGUUCCUUCUUUCACGGAUGCACAAGGACUUGCAGAAUGUUCCCACGAGAAGAUAAGAAGUGCUGAGACAGUAGCUCAGUGGGUCAAGUGCUCCAUGUGCAAGCCUGAGCACCUGAGUUCAGUCCCCAGCACUCACAUGAGAAACUGGGUGCAGUGGGCCGCACCUGUCAUUCCAGGCCUAGAAGGUGGAGACAGGAAGAUCGUGAGAGCUCAUUUGCUAAAUAGUCUAGCCGAUCAGUGAGCUCUCGAUUCAGUGGGAGAUACUGUCUCAAAAAUAAAUAAAACAUGAAUAAGUGGGGGGCAAUUGGGGAAGAUGCUCAAUAUUUAAUCUCUGGAACAUUCACCUAUGUGCACACACGUGAUCAUACAGGUGUGUGAUAUUUGUGUGCGUGGCGGUUCAUAUUUGGAGAAGUUGGCCUCAGGUAAGCAAAACAAAAUGAUGACUUCAAGUUGCUUUUGCUAGACACACUGUAUGAUUUGCCAAAUUGUAUAAACAGCUAUCAUAUAGGAGCCUUCCAAGAUAAACAAUGAUUGAGUCUGGCUGUGAGCACAAAUAUUCAACAAGGAAUUUCCCAUUGGAUUCUAAGGCCCAUCUACACUGUCCAUCCAUGUCCCUGGGAAAGCACUGUUGAUAUAAUUUACCAUCUCAAUGUAAGUUUUAACAUCUGUGAUGGAAGAAUCUACUUGCCAUGAUAAACACUGCACAACCAUAAGGGGCUGCGCCUACGU